rnacentral:rRNA from 1 species
CCUACGGGAUGCAGCAGUGAGGAAUAUUGGUCAAUGGGCGAGAGCCUGAACCAGCCAAGUCGCGGGAGGGAAGACGGUCCUAUGGAUUGUAAACCUCUUUUGCCGGGGAGCAAAAAGCGGUACGCGUACCGCAUCGCGAGUACCCGGAGAAAAAGCAUCGGCUAACACCGUGCCAGCAGCCGCGGUAAUACGGAGGAUGCGAGCGUUAUCCGGAUUUAGUGGGUUUAAAGGGUGCGCAGGCGGCGAGUUAAGUCAGCGGUAAAAUUUCGGGGCUCAACCCCGACAAGCCGUUGAAACUGGGUUGCUAGAGUGGGCGAGAGGUAUGCGGAAUGCGUGGUGUAGCGGUGAAAUGCAUAGAUAUCACGCAGAACUCCGAUUGCGAAGGCAGCAUACCGGCGCCCAACUGACGCUCAGGCACGAAAGCGUGGGUAUCGAACAGGAUUAGAUACCCCAGUAGUC